UCAGGCCUAACACAUGCAAGUCGUACGAGAGUUUUUAACUCUAGUGGCGGACGGGCGAGUAACACGUGAGAAUUUGCCUUUAGGAGGGGGACAACAAUUGGAAACGAAUGCUAAUACCCCAUAUGCUUUCGAGUGAAAUGGAUUUUAUCCGCCUAGAGAGAAGCUCGCGGCUGAUUAGCUUGUUGGUAAGGUAAGAGCUUACCAAGGCGACGAUCAGUAUCUGGUUUGAGAGGACGAUCAGACACACUGGAACUGAGACACGGUCCAGACUCCUACGGGAGGCAGCAGUGGGGAAUUUUCCUCAAAAGGGGAAAGCCUGACGGAGCAA
rnacentral:rRNA from 1 species